rnacentral:rRNA from 1 species
GACGAGGGGUCCUAGCGUUGUUCGGAAUCACUGGGCGUAAAGCGUUCGUAGGCGGCUCUAUAAGUCGGGUGUGAAAUCCCACGGCUCAACCGUGGAAGUGCAUUCGAAACUGCAGAGCUUGAAUAUGGUAGAGGGUAGUAGAAUUCCUGGUGUAGUGGUGAAAUACGUAGAUAUCAGGAGGAAUACCGGUGGCGAAGGCGGCUACCUGGACCAAUAUUGACGCUGAGGAACGAAAGCGUGGGGAGCAAACAGG